GAACAUUUUCUAAUACUUAAGUUAUCGACUGUUACCGACCGUCCCUAGAGCAACUGAAAAAGGGUUUGAUGGUUGGUAUCCGAGACCCAAGUUCGAAUCCUAACUGAUUCACGUUUUCAGCUAAAUUUAUUUCUAAAUGAAAUAAACGAAGCGGGUAGCAUGCUAUCUAUCUCUCAAAGAAAAAUGUUAUCGACUGUUUGUUCGCCCGCAAUUGAUUUUAAAAUUUUUGAGAUCAAAUUAACUUUUAGUUGAACU
rnacentral:lncRNA from 1 species